rfam:Schistosoma margrebowiei strain Zambia genome assembly, scaffold: SMRZ_contig0001523
AUCCAACUGAAGAGUUUCAAAAUAGGACGGAACGUGCAUCCUGGAU